UACGCCAUCCUCUCCCACCAAAUACCACCAAACCCAUGACAAAUUGUUGCAAAAUCUUCUGCUACUAGUACCUUAAUAUUCACAAGAUUCAAAACCCAUUUAACAAAAAAAAAAUUAAAAUUAACAUUUGGUGUUUAAUUUCCCGCAGCCAUUGAAACUUCCAGCUUCAAUUUUAGAUAUGGUUGUUGCUUGUCUAGCUACUCUAGAUCCGUCAUUUUGUGGGGUUCUAUGGACACUGUAAACUAACGGGUUAAUGAAUGGUUUUCUCUACGAAUGUGAAAAGUGUGAAACUCCAUUAUUGGCAAAUGGCGAUCGCUAAUUCGAACAUAGCAAAUCAUUGGCCUAGAAUAUUCUUUUCUUAUCUUUAUACAGGGGCAAACAUGAUGAAUAUACCCUUAACUACAAAUUUUGGCUCAGUGAAGAAGAAGCUAAAAUUGAAUACCAAAAUAUCAGUUUCGAUGAAUACAAAAAUUGGAGGCAAGGGUUAAAUUGGUGAUUGUGGUGUGGGAUAGGUGGAUGAGACGAUGGAUUUUAGGAUGUUACGAUGGCUCGUUGGAGGUGGCAAUGGUAGUGGCAUGGAUUCAAUCUGGUGAAAUGAAACUCACUCAAAGUGUACUAUUUUCUGCAAAUAUCGGUUUGUCUCGCCAAUUUCAAAAGCCUCAAGCAGUUCGAGCUUUUUCUGCCACCCCAUUUUCAGGUUCUUGAAUGCUGGAAUUUUUGAGAAUGGAACAGAGUCUUGUUCUGGGUGAUCUUGUUUCGUUGUCCUACAUUGUUGGUAUGUUGAUAGGGUGGCCUAAUUCUAAGGCUGUUGGACCCACAGGAGAAACUCUAAAUGUCAAGGAAGCCUUUAAUCUUGUUAGUGUAGAUUUAGGUUUUUUUGGGUUGCAGCCUAAGGAAGACCUUGCACUAGUUACUUUUCUUUUGUUUGCAGCCUAAGGAAGACCUUGCACUAGUUACUUUUCUUUUGUUUGAGAGGAAUGUAAG